rnacentral:lncRNA from 12 species
AUCCAACUUCUUGGAGGACAAACAGGUCUGUAACUGUUAGCGACACUAGAUACAGAUAUGGGUAUGGGCAUAGAUAUGCAUAGAGAUAUAUGAAAUCAGUUAUGUAAAUUGUGAAAUAUAAUCCUGAUCCUGUCUGUUCAACUACUACAGAUAUCUAAAAUUACACUUUUGGCAAUGUUGGAUAACCACACUGAUGGAAUUCAAAGAAGCUGGGAAUUUCCUGAAGAAAAGUAGCUUCAUCCGGUUGUAAU